GUGAAAGAGGGCAAUAAAAUAUUAACUCAGGAUGCAUCACAUCAAUGAGUUGAUCGGAGGCGCAUAAUAAAAGAGACGAAGCACGUUAAGUCCAAUCAACUUAAUCAAACACUUUAGGUCCCUACAGAUGGUAACUUCCUGCUAGCUAGUGUUGUUGUUAUGCCGUUAAGGACUAUUGAUCUGUCCUUUCAUUCUUUGUCAUAUUUCUUUUUUACAAACUCUG
rnacentral:lncRNA from 1 species